GUUUUAAUAAUUUAAAUAAAAUAUUGGUCUUGUAAACCAAAAAUGAGAUUUACUCUUAAAGCU
rnacentral:tRNA from 1 species